UACAGAGGUCCCAAGCGUUGUUCGGAUUCACUGGGCGUAAAGGGUGCGUAGGCGGUCGGGUAAGUCUGGCGUGAAAUCUCCAAGCCUAGCUUGGAAACUGCGUUGGAUACUAUCCGGCUCGAGGAAUGGAGGGGAGACUGGAAUACUUGGUGUAGCAGUGAAAUGCGUAGAUAUCAAGUGGAACACCAGUGGCGAAGGCGAGUCUCUGGACAUUUCCUGACGCUGAGGCACGAAAGCCAGGGGAGCAAACGGG
rnacentral:rRNA from 1 species